AAUGCAGUGCCCGAACAGGGCGUUGUAAUUGGAAUGAGAACAAUUUAAUUCCCUUAUCGAUUAACAAUUAGAGGGCAAGUCUGGUGCCAGCAGCCGCGGUAAUUCCAGCUCUAAUAGCGUAUAUUAAAGUUGUUGCAGUUAAAAAGCUCGUAGUUGGAUUUCGGCGUGCGCUCAGGCUGGUCGGCCGUCAAGGUCUGUACCGUUUGGGUCACGCCCCACUGUAGGAUACUCACCGCUGUCCUUAACUGGGUGGCGGUCAAAGGGGGUGUGCAUGGGGGCAACUCUGUGCAUAUCUCUGGGGUUCCUACUCUUUUACCUUGAGCAAAUUAGAGUGUUCAAAGCAGGCAAUCGAGCCUUGAAUACUUCAGCAUGGGGUAAUGGAACAGGACUGGGGUCCUGAUUUCGUUGGUUUCUGGGAUCUCAGUAAUGAUUAAUAGGGAUAGUUGGGGGCAUUAGUAUUUAAUUGUCAGAGGUGAAAUUCUUGGAUUUAUGAAAGACUAACUUCUGCGAAAGCAUUUGCCAAGGAUGUUUUCAUUAAUCAAGAACGAAAGUUAGGGGAUCGAAGACGAUCAGAUACCGUCGUAGUCUUAACCAUAAACGAUGCCGACCAGCGAUUGGGAGACGUUACAUGGAUGACUCCCCCAGCAGCUUGCGAGAAAUCACAAGUCUUUGGGUUCCGGGGGGAGUAUGGUCGCAAGGCUGAAACUUAAAGGAAUUGACGGAAGGGCACACCAGGAGUGGAGCCUGCGGCUUAAUUUGACCCAACACGGGGAAACUUACCAGGUCCAGACAUAGUAAGGAUUGACAGAUUUGAGAGCUCUUUCUUGAUUCUAUGGGUGGUGGUGCAUGGCCGUUCUUAGUUGGUGGAGUGAUUUGUCUGGUUAGUUCCGUUAACGAACGAGACCUUAACCUGCUAAAUAUGUCACUGGUAGACUUCUGCCAAAACAGGUGGGUGUCUAGGGGAAAGUUUCGAUGGACUCCGACGCAUUCAUCUGUGGAUGACUACCAGGAUGUACUUCUUAGAGGGACUAUCUGUAUCAAAGCAGAUGGAAGUUUGAGGCAAUAACAGGUCUGUGAUGCCCUUAGAUGUUCUGGGCCGCACGCGCGCUACACUGACAAGUUCAACGAGUUUAACACCUUGCUCGAUAGGGCUGGGUAAUCUUUGAAAAACUUGUCGUGAUGGGGAUAGAUCAUUGUAAUUAUUGGUCUUCAACGAGGAAUUCCUAGUAAGCGUGAGUCAUCAGCUCGCGUUGAUUACGUCCCUGCCCUUUGUACACACCGCCCGUCGCUCCUACCGAUUGAAUGAUCCGGUGAAAUGUUGGGAGCUGGGGUCUUUUGGCGGCGGGGCAACUCGUCGUCAGGGAUUUUGCAAACUUCAUUAAACCUUAUCAUUUAGA
rnacentral:rRNA from 1 species